rnacentral:rRNA from 1 species
GACGAACGCUGGCGGCGUGCCUAAUACAUGCAAGUUGAGCGCUGAAGGUUGGUACUUGUACCAACUGGAUGAGCAGCGAACGGGUGAGUAACGCGUGGGGAAUCUGCCUUUGAGCGGGGGACAACAUUUGGAAACGAAUGCUAAUACCGCAUAAAAACUUUAAACACAAGUUUUAAGUUUGAAAGAUGCAAUUGCAUCACUCAAAGAUGAUCCCGCGUUGUAUUAGCUAGUUGGUGAGGUAAAGGCUCACCAAGGCGAUGAUACAUAGCCGACCUGAGAGGUUGAUCGGCCACAUUGGAACUGAAAAACGGCCAAACUCCUACGGGAGGCAGCAGUAGGGAAUCUUCGGCAAUGGACGAAAGUCUGACCGAGCAACGCCGCGUGAGUGAAGAAGGUUUUCGGAUCGUAAAACUCUGUUGGUAGAGAAGAACGUUGGUGAGAGUGGAAAGCUCAUCAAGUGACGGUAACUACCCAGAAAGGGACGGCUAACUACGUG